UCUUUUGUGGGGUAGCAGGAAGAGGGAGUGCCAGAGAGCUGUACUCUAACGGCCCCUGGAUUCUGGCCUGAGCCACUGUGGGCAUGUGGCUGCAUUUCUAGAAUCAAAGGGUACAUCUGUGACUGAAAAUCUUUCUUAUACAAAGCAAAUUGCAAACUGGCACCAGAAUGGCCAGAUUCCAUGGGAAAAAAAGCCUCCAAAUAACACAGUCUUGGUGCCGUGACACGAAUGGCAACGCCCAGCUGAGAGUACCGAUGGGCUUGCGGACCGUUCCCCUCCAAAACCCCAGGUGCCAAAUGAAGGUCCAAGAAGCUUUACCCAGAGAGCCUGAAGAAGCCUGCCAUUCCUUACAGCCAGGAAAUUAGAUUCAUGUAAAAAUCCACCAAAGAAAAUCAGCUUUAGAACCUCGCUGGAAAGGUCCAUUCCAAGUUCUUCUCACCACUAAGACUGCAGUAAAGUAUUGGAGACUAUCUGCUUGGAUCCACACAUCGCACUGCAAAAAGACUGUUCCUCCUGACGAAACCAAGGAUUAAAGAUUAAGACUCCAAGAAAAGAGCCCAUUAAUAACCAAACAUGGAGUCCCUCCUAUAGGCUAUUUGUAUUGAACUUUUAAACCUGGGCUAUGAGAAUGUGUUUUUGUCUUUAAUUAACCAAAUUAAGAUAGACUUAAAUGUCUCUCAUUGUUGGAUAUGUAGUCAUGUCCCUAUCCAUUCUACCGAAGGGAUACCCAUGAUACCAGUACCCUUGAAUGCAACCCAAAUGUCAGCUCCUUAUUGUUCACCCUUUCAUAGAAAUGAAACUUGGCAAGAUAUAAAUUGUAACCAAGCUGACUAUGUACAACUAGCGUAUACCACCCCUGGAAAGUUUUGUUAGACCUGUAAUAGAUCUCAUGUUGUAGUAGGAGUCAGUAAGUGUAAAGUGGAAUUUAAGGUAAAUGGUGCUUAGCUCUCUAAUGGUUCCUAGAUACCUGGUUAUUCUCCCAUUUUGGCUAGAUAUUUAGGUUAUUAUUCAGUAUGAAUAUUAAAACAAGUUUGUAACUUUUCAGUUA